rnacentral:misc_RNA from 1 species
AACGCACAUUGCGCUCCCUGGUAUUCCAAGGAGCAUGCCCGUUUCAGAAUCAUGUUUUCAGACUCUCUCUAGGUCUCUGUGUCUUGUGCAUAGGAACAAAGGGAGGCAAUGGACAAAUUGAGUGGCACUUGCUGCCCAAUUGUCUGAAACCCAUUGUCCCAAAGGCCACAGUGGCUUGUGAGUCCAACGGUCACAAAGUGCAACAGAUGCUUGUAAUCUCUUAUCACUUUGCUGUUGGUUCAUGCCACAGGGUGCUGGGACCCAAUAAGUACACGGUAGUGGUAGGCGAUCCUACCCUGCUGGUCACUUGGUCUGAAAUCGGGCAAGAAAACCCGCUGAACUUAA